rnacentral:tRNA from 1 species
GUAGCUCAGUGGUAGAGUGCUUGCCUUGCAUGCAUGAGGCCCUGAGUUCCAUUCCUCAGC